rnacentral:misc_RNA from 1 species
GCGAAUGCGAGCUGGAGGUUAUACUUGGGAAAGUUAUCGGGCCAAAAUGAUCCGGAAUUUGACCCGUCAGAUCUCAAACGAGACCCGACUGAACCUCAGAAGACUAUGUUUCACGGCGGCGGAGCAGAGUGGAAGAGAUUCGAGGCUCUACCGGAGAUUGUCGGCUUUAGGAGCCACGAAAGGGUCGGUUACUGAAACAAUAAAUGCGUACACGAGAGAAGGCAGAGUAGUGAAGAAAUAUGAACUGGAAAAAUGCAUCAAGGAGCUUCGCAAAUAUAAAAGAUACCAGCAUGCUCUUGAGAUAAUGGAGUGGAUGGAG